CCUACGGGACGCAGCAGUGGGGAAUAUUGGGCAAUGGGCGCAAGCCUGACCCAGCAACGCCGCGUGAAGGAAGAAGGCUUUCGGGUUGUAAACUUCUUUUCUCAGGGACGAAGAAAGUGACGGUACCUGAGGAAUAAGCCACGGCUAACUACGUGCCAGCAGCCGCGGUAAUACGUAGGUGGCAAGCGUUAUCCGGAUUUACUGGGUGUAAAGGGCGUGUAGGCGGGACUGCAAGUCAGAUGUGAAAACCACGGGCUCAACCUGAGGCCUGCAUUUGAAACUGUCGUUCUUGAGUACUGGAGAGG
rnacentral:rRNA from 1 species